UGAACGCUGGCGGCGUGCUUAACACAUGCAAGUCGAGCGGCAGCGCGGGAGCAAUCCUGGCGGCGAGCGGCGAACGGGUGAGUAAUGCUUCGGAAUCUACCCAGUAGUGGGGAAUAACCAGUCGAAAGACUGGCUAACUACCGCAUACGACCUAAGGGUGAAAGCAGGGGAUCGCAAGACCUUGCGCUAUCGGAUGAGCCGAAGUCGGAUUAGCUAGUUGGUGAGGUAACGGCUCACCAAGGCGACGAUCCGUAGCUGGUCUGAGAGGACGACCAGCCACACUGGGACUGAGACACGGCCCAGACUCCUACGGGAGGCAGCAGUGGGGAAUAUUGGACAAUGGGGGCAACCCUGAUCCAGCGACGCCGCGUGUGUGAAGAAGGCCUGCGGGUUGUAAAGCACUUUUAGUGGGGAGGAAAGCACCUGACCUAAUACGUCAGGAAUUGACUUAACCCAAAGAAAAACGCACCGGCUAACUCUGUGCCAGCAG
rnacentral:rRNA from 1 species